GGGGAAUAUUGGGCAAUGGGCGAAAGCCUGACCCAGCAACGCCGCGUGAAGGAAGACGGUCUUCGGAUUGUAAACUUCUUUAAUUGGGGAAGAAAUAAAUGACCUACCCAAAGAAUAAGUCACGGCUAACUACGUGCCAGCAGCCGCGGUAAUACGUAGGUGACAAGCGUUAUCCGGAUUUACUGGGCGUAAAGGGCGUGUAGGCGGCUUAGCAAGUCAGAUGUGAAAUUCUUGGGCUCAACCCGAGAGCUGCAUCUGAAACUGCUGAGCUUGAGUGCUGGAUGGGAUAGCGGAAUUCCUGGUGGAGCGGUAAAAUGCGCAGAUAUCAGGAAGAACACCGGUGGCGAAGGCGGCUAUCUGGACAGUAACUGACGCUGAGGCGCGAAAGCGUGGGGAGCAAAC
rnacentral:rRNA from 1 species